UACGUAGGGGGCAAGCGUUGUCCGGAAUUAUUGGGCGUAAAGGGCUCGUAGGCGGUUUGUCGCGUCUGCUGUGAAAGCUCGGGGCUUAACCCCGGGCCUGCAGUGGGUACGGGCAGGCUAGAGUGCGGUAGGGGAGACUGGAAUUCCUGGUGUAGCGGUGAAAUGCGCAGAUAUCAGGAGGAACACCGGUGGCGAAGGCGGGUCUCUGGGCCGUAACUGACGCUGAGGAGCGAAAGCGUGGGGAGCGAACAGG
rnacentral:rRNA from 1 species